ACAGUUGACUCAGAAUUCAAUGCUUUAUGAGAUCAUAACCAAAUUAAAAGUUUAAAAAGCACGGUGAAGGAAGGUUCAAAGUCACUGCCAAGUUUUCCUUAAAAAAUACACAAAUUGAAGGGUAAUUUAGGUAUAUCAAGUCAUCUGCUUGAUACCCACGGCGGAACAAGGUCUCAAAGUCGCUGCCAAAUUUUCCUUGAAAAUAAACAAAUAGGAAGGUACUUCAGGUAUACAAGUCAUUUGCUUGGUACUCACGUAGUGUCGACCGCACUCUAGCACCGCCAUCCCUUUCUCUCUCCCGCGAAAAGAGGUAGCCAAAGCUGCUCUCACUCUCUCACCCAUGGCCAUGCUCCAGAAAAACUCGGUCGGAUCCAUCGGGCUUGACGGCUAGCCCGAACCCGAAGAGCGUACGGAAACGAAGCACAAUGGCGAGCUCAGUUCUUCCCCCGCUGCUAACAAGCUGCUGAAGUUCGCUAUAAUCGGUCUCAUUGCCUGCCUGGGCUUGCUCUGUUUGUACUACGGGAGUUAUUUCGGGCCGCGCUUUCUCCAUCGCGAUUUGGAUGAUUUGCCUAUUUGUGAUUUACAGUUUUCAGAGUUGAUACCAUGUCUUGAUAGAAACCUUAUCUACCAACUGCGGUUGAAGCCGAAUUUGACGUUUAGGGAGCAUUAAGCCUUGCCCGGCUCCAGAGCGGCGUUAUAAUUGCUUGAUACCGCCCCCGCUUGGUUAUAAGAUACCUAUAUGAUGGCCGGAAAGUAGAGAUGAAGUGUGGAAGGCCAACAUUCCACACACCCAUCUUGCACAAGUGAAAUCUGAUCAGAAUUGGAUGGUUGUGAAUGGGGACAAGAUCAGUUUCCCGGGAGGUGGAACGCAUUUCCAUGACGGAGCUGGUAAGUACAUUGUUGCUCUUUCUAGGGUACUUAAACACCGACUCAGUUCUGGAUUCUUUUCUAUCUUUAUUUUGUAGUAUAAAAGGAACAGCAAGUAGAAAAGAAAAACGAAAAAUUCCAA